rnacentral:rRNA from 1 species
UACGGAGGGGGUUAGCGUUGUUCGGAAUUACUGGGCGUAAAGCGCGCGUAGGCGGAUUGGAAAGUUAGGGGUGAAAUCCCAGGGCUCAACCCUGGAACUGCCCUUAAAACUCCCAGUCUAGAGUUCGAGAGAGGUGAGUGGAAUUCCGAGUGUAGAGGUGAAAUUCGUAGAUAUUCGGAGGAACACCAGUGGCGAAGGCGGCUCACUGGCUCGAUACUGACGCUGAGGUGCGAAAGUGUGGGGAGCAAACAGG